UACGAGGGGUGCAAGCGUUGCUCGGAAUUAUUGGGCGUAAAGGGCUCGUAGGCGGUUUGUCGCGUCGGGAGUGAAAUCCACUGGCUUAACUGGUGGCUUGCUUUCGAUACGGGCAGACUAGAGUGCGGUAGGGGAGAUUGGAAUUCCUGGUGUAGCGGUGGAAUGCGCAGAUAUCAGGAGGAACACCGAUGGCGAAGGCAGAUCUCUGGGCCGUAACUGACGCUGAGGAGCGAAAGCAUGGGGAGCGAACAGG
rnacentral:rRNA from 1 species